GAAAUGCGAUAAUUAAUGUGAAUUGCAGAAUUCAGUGAAUCAUCGAGUCUUUGAACGCACAUUGCGCCCCCUGGUAUUCCGGGGGGCAUGCCUGUCCGAGCGUCAUUGCAGCCCUCAAGCACGGCUUGUGUGUUGGGCUUCCGUCCCUGGCAACGGGGACGGGCCCAAAAGGCAGUGGCGGCACCAUGUCUGGUCCUCGAGCGUAUGGGGCUUUGUCACCCGCUCCCGUAGGUCCAGCUGGCAGCUAGCCUCGCAACCAAUCUUUUUAACCAGGUUGACCUCGGAUCAGGUAGGGAUACCCGCUGAACUUAAGC
rnacentral:misc_RNA from 1 species